GACAAAUUAAGCACUUGGACACACCCCUAACCAGUCCCACCUAUGGAUCCUCUCAGCCUACAUGGACUUAUCAUCAUCCAGCUAAUUGCCAGUUUGGCUUGACCAUUAUUGACUUCCUUGGACACAGUUUCACCAAGGACGGGCCAUUUCACUCUGAUAUAAGGUUGCCUCGAUCUUGGACCCUCCUUGCCCAGUCGCAGUGAGGUCACUGCAGGAGUUCCUGGGAAUGUCAACUUCAACCUCCGCUUCAUUCCCAAAGCAGCUGCACUUAUGCGCCCCUUGCUAGAGGACUUGAAGAGGAAAGCGCCCAAACACCUGGUGGAUUGGUCCUUGGAGAGAGACAGUGCAUUUAUAGAUGCUAAGAAAGCUUUGGCCAACGCAAUAAUGCUAGCACACCCAUCACCUGACGAGUCAAUUGCCAUCACCAUAGACGCAUCGGACUAUGCUGUUGGAGCUGUGCACGAACAGUGGGUGUAUGGUGCUUGGCUGCCGCUCGCUUUCUUUAGCCGGCUGGGUUACGCUCCAGUGAAUGUGAGUACAGCACUUUUGACGAGAUGCAUCAUGAACAAGCCUCCAGGAACCGUGCAUGCUUCCGCAAUGCACCAGUGCUGAACAGCCAAGCCUGG
ensembl:lncRNA